UUAGUUGCCAUCAUUCAGUUGGGCACUCUAGCGAGACUGCCGGUAAUAAACCCGGAGGAAGGUGGGGAUGACGUCAAAUCAUCAUGCCCCUUAUGACCUGGGCUACACACGUGCUACAAUGGUUGGUACAACGAGUUGCGAGUCGGUGACGGCGAGCUAAUCUCUUAAAGCCAAUCUCAGUUCGGAUUGUAGGCUGCAACUCGCCUACAUGAAGUCGGAAUCGCUAGUAAUCGCGGAUCAGCACGCCGCGGUGAAUACGUUCCCGGGCCUU
rnacentral:rRNA from 1 species